CCACUCGUCACUUUUGUCUGCUGCCAUUGCCUAAGGAAACAGAGAGACAGAUGUUAUUCCAAGUCUGCAUUCUCCACCAUGAUAUUAACACUAAAGCAGUUCGUCUAUGGAGAGAAGGUUGUUCACCAACAGGAGAGCUGCAACAAACCAUGGUGCUGCUCACAGGAACUCCUCCUGGGAAACUCAAGUUUACUGUUCUCCACUGAUGGCAAAAUCAUCAAAUUCAAGUUCGUCCAGAGUCUGAGAUCAGUGACAGAAGAGACCUUAAUUUUACUCCCCAGAACUGAGCAAGCAGCAGACACUCUCCCCAGAGUCAGAAGGCCUGCAGGAUAGUCGCAGGUGCAGGCCGAACCAGACCAGCAGGAAGCGGAUGCCUCAGAGAUCUUAGCCCGGAAAGGGCAAAGCAUCUUGGGAAUAUGGAACUUGCUGUCAUUUUUUUUUUCUUUUUUUCUUUUUUUUCUUUUUUUCCCCGGAGCUGGGGACCGAACCCAGGGCCUUGUGCUUGCUAGGCAAGCCCUCUACUACUGAGCUAAAUCCCCAACCCCAUGGAACUUGCUGUUAUUUUAAGUCCAGGUUGAGUAUCUCUUACAUAAGAUGCUUGGGAACAGAAGUAGCUCAGUUUGUAAAACUGCAUGGACUUUACUGGCUGAGAAUCCCUAAUCUGAAAAUCCAAACACUAGAAUCCAAGUACAGAACUCUGGAGGUCGAGGCAAUGCAAUCCCUGAGUUCUUGGUUAGCCUAUACUGUGUGUUAACACAGGUUGGGUUUUUUGUUUUGUUUUGUUUUUUGUUUGUUUUUGAGACGGUUUCUCUGUGUAGCCCUAGCUAUCUCAGAACUGAGAGAUCUGCCUGCCUUGGCCUCUAGUGCUGGAAGUAAAGGCUCAUGUCAUGAUACCCAGCCCUAAGAUAAAGUCUUAAA
rnacentral:sRNA from 1 species